UACGGGGGGAGCAAGCGUUGUUCGGAUUUACUGGGCGUAAAGGGCGCGUAGGCGGCCACCGCAAGUCGACUGUGAAAUCUCCGGGCUUAACCCGGAAAGGUCAGCCGAUACUGCGGGGCUAGAGUGCAGAAGGGGCAACUGGAAUUCUCGGUGUAGCGGUGAAAUGCGUAGAUAUUGAGAGGAACACCUGCGGCGAAGGCGGGUUGCUGGGCUGACACUGACGCUGAGGCGCGAAAGCUAGGGGAGCGAACGGG
rnacentral:rRNA from 1 species